UACGUAGGUGGCAAGCGUUAUCCGAAAUUAUUGGGCGUAAAGAGCGCGCAGGUGGUUAAUUAAGUCUGAUGUGAAAGCCCACGGCUUAACCGUGGAGGGUCAUUGGAAACUGGUUGACUUGAGUGCAGAAGAGGGAAGUGGAAUUCCAUGUGUAGCGGUGAAAUGCGUAGAGAUAUGGAGGAACACCAGUGGCGAAGGCGGCUUCCUGGUCUGCAACUGACACUGAGGCGCGAAAGCGUGGGGAGCAAACAGG
rnacentral:rRNA from 1 species